ACCAGGUUGGCCGAGUGGUUAAGGCGCCAGACUUAAGUUCUGGUCUCUAACAAGAGACGUGGGUUCGAACCCCACACCUGGUA
rfam:Daphnia pulex DAPPTscaffold_86_Cont4069, whole genome shotgun sequence.